GGCUCCAUGUCACAGAUCAUGGUGCAUUGAGCAGCAGCUGUCAGUCCGGAGAUCUCAAGAUGAAGUCACACACACUGCUCAUCUGGAUGCUAGUCUUUUUUAUGAAGGAUGCCAGCGGGCAGAUUGUGAUGACCCAGACGCCAGAAUCCCUCUCAGUGUCUCCAGGAGACAGAGUUACCAUCAACUGCAAAGCCAGUACAAGCAUCAGCAGCAACAUAGCCUGGUACCAACAGAAAUCAGGACAAGCUCCUAAGCUCUUGUUCUAUGGUUCUUCCACCCGUCCCUCUGGGGUCCCAGACCGGUUCAGCGGCAGUGGGUCGGGCACUGACUACACAUUCACCAUCAGCAGGGUUGAAGCAGAUGAUGCUGGAGAUUAUUAUUGUCAGCAGUAUAACAGCUGGCCUCUCACAGUGAUACAGACCAGCACAAAAACCUCCCUGUUCUGUUUAGUUUCAGACUUUCACUCAAUGUUUCAGCUGCUUCCUGUGCAGCAUCCUCUCAGCUCUCACAGACCCAACUUCUCUGGAUACUAG